rnacentral:tRNA from 1 species
CAGAGCAUAGCUAAAUUAGUAAAGCAUCUCCCUUACACUGAGAAGUUGUCCAUGCGAUUUGGACUGAUCUGA